rnacentral:lncRNA from 1 species
GAUGAUUUCUCCAUCCUGAACGUGCAGCGGGUCUUCCUGCUCUGUUUCCCAGGCUGGAGUGCAAUGGUACCAUCAUAGCUCACUGCAGCCUUAAACUUCCGGGCUCAAGUGAUCCUCCUGCCUCGGCCUCCCAAUGCAUUGGGAUUACAGGUGUGAGUCCCUGCGUCUGGCCAGGAUGCUCCUGAGGACCCUGGUGGAAGAUGGACUAAGCACAUCCUGGGCAUCGGGGACAGGCACCGGCUCCUCAAGCGUGGACAGGGACAGGGAUGGGGCGGGGCAGCGCUGCAGGAGGUGGGGCCUGGGCUGAUUUUCUUGCUGUACUACUUUCAGUCACUACGUACCUGUUAUGGGUUGAACUAGGCUCCCUGUAUUAGUCAGAGUUCUCUAGAGGGACAGAACUAAUGGAAUAUAAAAAAAUAAAUAUAUACAUAUAUAUGGAA